UUCAAAUGAUGUUUAUCUCACGAUGGUCUUCCUAGCCCGCCGGGCUCUGACGAGAUCGCCAAAUGGCAAAGCUGAUUUAGUGUC